AGCAGCCGCGGUAAUUCCAGCUCCAAUAGCGUAUAUUAAAGUUGUUGCAGUUAAAAAGCUCGUAGUUGAAUUUCGGGGUUAGUAGGUUGGUCAUGCCUCUGGUAUGUACUGGUCUCACUGAUUCCUCCUUCCUGAUGAGCCGUAAUGCCAUUAAUUUGGUGUUGCGGGGAAUUUGGACUGUUACUUUGAAAAAUUAGAGUGUUUAAAGCAAGCUAACGCUUGAAUACAUUAGCAUGGAAUAAUGAAAUAGGACGUUCGAUCCUAUUUUGUUGGUUUCUAGGAUUGACGUAAUGAUUAAUAGGGAUAGUUGGGGGCAUUAGUAUUCAAUUGUCAGAGGUGAAAUUCUUGGAUUUAUUGAAGACUAACUACUGCGAAAGCAUUUGCCAAGGAUGUUUUCAUUAAUCAAGAACGAAAGUUAGGGGAUCGAAGACGAUCAGAUACCGUCGUAGUCUUAACCAUAAACUAUGCCGACUAGGGAUCGGAUGAUGUUAAUUUUUAAUGACUCG
rnacentral:rRNA from 1 species